UUUGAUUUGACUUCCCUCACUUUGGAAGUGAGCAGAGGGGCCAGGGAGGGUGGCGGGCGGCGGGGAGGUAGGUUGAGGAAGGGCAGGUAUCAGCAGUUUGCUCCAUCCGGCCUUGAAAAUUCAGGGGCUCGAGGAUCUGCUUUUUGCAAAUCAGCCACCUGGGGGAGACAGAGUAGCUGACCCUUGGCGGGGAGCAGAUCAGAGCCCCCAGUCCAGCCGACUGGUUUGAAAAAUCUAUCCCAGUGGCUCUUAACUUGGCCCGUCCUCCCAGCUUCUUUCUCUACAGUGCCUGCCGGAGGCAGACCUCUGCUCUCAGUAGAGGUAAUGUCUGAUCACCCUUCCUACCUUCAACAAGAAUCCUGUCAGACCCUGCACUUGAUGGAUCAGCUGGCCCCACCCAGAUCAAUAAACUGGCUCAUCUGACCUUGCGGCAUCCACCCAGGAACUUACCAAGCACAAGAAGACAGUUUUGAUGUGAUUCACCUCUGAUCAAUCAGCACUUCUGGUUCACUGGCUUCCCCCGACCCACCAAGUUAUCCUUAAAAACUCUGCUCCCCUCAGUGCUUGGGUAAUAAUAAAACUCCAGUCUCCCGCACCCACUCUGAAUAAACUACUCUUUCUCAUUGCAGUUCCCCUGUCUUGAUGAAUUAGCUCUGUCCACGCCUGGGCAAGGUGAAGCCCUUGAGU